GCAGUUUACUUUUUUUCGAUUACAAGCAUAGAAAAAUAAUAAAAAACUUCGUUACUUGUUAGUAUUGUGUAUGUGAUGUUUUGUAUGUAUGCGUAGCCGUGGCGUUGCCGGACGCUGUAUUUCUGCGCAUUUCUCCAAUCUAUGGCCCAGACAACAUUGUCACAAAAAAUCUCCAGUACCUACAUAUUGAACUGUUAGGCUGGUACUAAACGAGUCGAUUUCACCGCGCAUUCACGCCUGGGAACGACCGUUAGAAAAAUUUUGGUCGUCGUUGUGUCGCUAUCGCGUCCCUUCGAAAUCGCUAUAUGUUGUCUUAUGGGGCGUGGCCGGCGACAAAAGCCGUAUCCAGCAAGUCGGAUAUUUCGGGCGACAGACAUGCGCAGUGCGCGCGGGAAAAUCGAAGUAAUGGAUGACGCUGAAACUCGAAACGAGGUAGUCGAUGUUGAUUGGAUAGCAUUUUGUACGUCACAAGUUUCAAUAUUCCAUUUCGUUACCUCGUUGGCAAACAUAUCGUCGACAAGCGACAGACUAUAAAU
rnacentral:lncRNA from 1 species